AGAUGUAUGCAUGCAAAUAGUACAAACUCUGUGGGGAUAUGUGUCCACAAAAGAAGAAAAGAAAUCCGGAGAAAUCGACAAUCCAUAGGAGUAAUACACUCACUAGGGAGAUAGAGACUCUGGAGGAGUAAAGGGUGAAAACGCAUGAGCAGGUCACGACUCAAAACUUGGGGAACAGGAUUCCAAAGAGAGUAAUGGAAAGACUCGAGCUGACUCGAAGGUGCAUGUGUUGGGGAAUAUGCC
rnacentral:lncRNA from 1 species